rnacentral:rRNA from 1 species
UGGGGAAUUUUGGACAAUGGGGGAAACCCUGAUCCAGCCAUCCCGCGUGUGCGAUGAAGGCCUUCGGGUUGUAAAGCACUUUUGGCAGGAAAGAAACGUCAUGGGUUAAUACCCCGUGAAACUGACGGUACCUGCAGAAUAAGCACCGGCUAACUACGUGCCAGCAGCCGCGGUAAUACGUAGGGUGCAAGCGUUAAUCGGAAUUACUGGGCGUAAAGCGUGCGCAGGCGGUUCGGAAAGAAAGAUGUGAAAUCCCAGAGCUCAACUUUGGAACUGCAUUUUUAACUAACGGGAUAGAGUGGGUCAGAGGGAGGUGGAAUUCCGGGUGGAGCAGUGAAAUGCGUAGAUAUGCGGAGGAACACCGAUGGCGAAGGCAGCCUCCUGGGAUAACACUGACGCUCAUGCACGAAAGCGUGGGGAGCAAACAGG